CCAGGCCUCACCCUCCAGGCUGGAAGACCCGCCCCUCCCGGGCCUCCGGAUCCUGGCUGGGAGCCAUCUCUGCCUCCUGCCGCUUCCUGCACUCCUGAUCAGAUCUUUAAGAAAUCUGCAAACUGCUUUCCACAGGGGCUGCAUUAAUUUGCAUUCUCACCAAAGUGUCUUAGCCCCUGCAGAAACUGGAUAAACCCUGGAGAAUGACUGUAGUCUACACCAGGAUUAAACAAAUAGUAACCCUGAUUGCAGGUGCUGUACUAGACAUAGUAUCUUUGGUAGAACCAAUUAGUGAGGCUUUCGGUACAACCAUUGACAUGGGAGAUGCAUUCUUUUCCAUUCCAAUCAAGAAAGAGGAUCAGAAAUGGUUUGUAUUUAGGUAGGAUAGAAAACAAUAUUAAACUGAAGUUUUGCCUCAGGGCUAAAUGAACUCUACUGCCUUCUGUCCUAAAAUAGCUUGAGGAUAUGUGGACCACCUGAAUGUCCCACAGAACAUCAUGACACCUUGGUGAUGGGGCAGAACCAACAAUAGAUGGCUAUCUCACUAGAGGUCUUGGUAAGAUACAUGCACUAGAGAGGAUGGGAAAUAAACCCUAUAAAGAUUGAGAGAUAUACAUGUCAAUAAAGUCCUUACGGAUCCAAUGCUCAGGGUCAUUCCUGAAUAUCUCCUCUAAAUUCAAAUAAAACCACUGCAUCUUGCAUUCCCUACCACAAAGAAGGAAGCACAGUGCAUGGUGUGCCUCAUUUGCUUCUGAUGGCAACACAUUUCAUACCUAGGAAUGCUGCUUCAGCCCCUAUACUGGAUGACACAAAAGGGUGCUAACUUUGAGUGGAGCCUAAACUAGGAAAGAGCUCUGCAACAGGUCCGAACUGGAGUGCAAGCACACCUGCCACUGGAGCCGUGUUAUCUCACGGACCUCAUGAGGUUGUAGGUGUCAGCAGUGGGACAAGAUGCAUCAUAGGGUGGAAAUUGUAUAUCUAAGAUCAAACCUAGGCAGGACUGGAGGAUACGCAUGAGUAAUCCACAUAAGCUGGUAGCCCAGACCCCCAUGUCACCCACCGCGGCUAUACCAGCGCUCCUGCCUCAGCUCAUAUUUAUGGCCAUAUUGGAGUGCUGACACACUGAUCUGGGGUUACUCACUCACAUCAGGCACUGGAUGAGUACAGUGUCCUGGGCUAAAGUUGAUCUAUCCCAGACCCUCACCUUCAGCAGCAUCAGUGGCCCUCACAGCAGCUCUCCCUCCUCUGUAUUCCUACUUAGUGGCAGCUGUGGCCUGCAGCACCCAGAAACAGUGAGGUAGAGGGAAUGGCAAGCAUCCAUUACCCUGUGCUCCAUCAAUGGCACUGUCACCCCCUCUGUAGGCUCUGUGCCAUGUGUCAGGUAGUACCCAGGGCUUGUGAGACAUCACUCCAAGUUUCCAACCAGGUAUGCUCUUGAUUCCAGUGGAUGUGAUGACGUUGUGCUCUCUCAGGGCUUAGGCUAUGCCAGAGGAGGGAUGAACAUUCCUUGCUGAAUGAGAUCCCUCUAGCUGUUCCACCCAGGGCCUCUGGCCUGUCCUUUCCUUUGGUGAUGGAGUGUAGAAGGCAGGCGUGGAGUUAACACAGAAAGAUUUAACUUUCUGUGUUAGGCAGGCAUGGAGUUAACCCUCUGAAAACACAGGAUGCCAGUCUAAAGAGUGAAGAGAAAAUGUGGUUGGAAGAUGUGUUCUUCUACCUUUACAUCAUAAAUUUCAGAACAGUGCAUUUCAUGACCAGAAGAUGAAUUACUGUUCACAUUUUUCUGCAUGCUCUGGAUAAGAUUUGCAAUUGUGAUCAUUGCCAAUGGAAGCACAGUAACAGCUUUCAGAGGGUCAGUGGAAGCCAGUAUGGAAGAUAUACGCUGGACAAGGCAGCCUCUUGAGUGAUGAUGUAACUACCAUUAAACACAUGGUAUCAGGGAACUACAGAGGUAUGAUCUGUGUUGCUUCAAUACAAAAAAGUGAAGAAGAGCCACGGCACUGCCAGUAAUAAUGACGUUCCAUGAGAGAUAUACAAGUAGCCAGAACUUUUGCCACUAAGAAGAAACUUCACACUGAAAGGACAAUAGAUAAAUAUGUAAAUGCAUCUUGUCUACCUAUCACUCUAAAUCAAUUGAUCAGUGUAUACAUCACCAUGCCUCAUGAAUUUUGUCAUAAAUUUUUAAUCAAAUUGUUUAUGCAGAGGAUUCACGAAAAUGAGAGAGAUAAUCUGCCCUGGAUUAAUCAAUGACAUUUACCAAGCUCUAAUAAGAACAAGAAUUGUGCUAGAUACCAUGGAUACAAUAAAGAACAAUGCACAAAUGGACUAAAUGUAACUCACUGUCUAAACUGGUAGCAAUGCAUAUAGACAGACGCAGGGUGUCCUGAGCAGGGACAUAGGAAGGGGUGAUGGAAUGAACACCCAGCGAUGGUUCCGUACUGAUGUUCCCAGUUGAAGUCAUCAAAAAGGUGACCACUCCACAGGAACUCCAUUUGAGGGCCUUGUUCAAUGGGACUUUUCAGCCAUCCUCCCAAUCCAAGUAUUUUCUUCACCUAUUAAACUUGUCUUUGAUUAGCUCUCCAUUGGUCAGAGAUUCUGUGAGAUACCUAUGAAAAGAUGGAAGUGACACUUACAUAUGCCUAUCCCAACAGCCUAGCUGGAAAUCACCAAAAUGAGGCAAGAGAACAGGGUUUUUAGUGAACCUUUUUCCUGUGUGCCUGUUCUAGUUGAAGAAUCUGGGUUUAAUAGACCUAGAAUUCUUUAUAAAAGAAUUCUUGCCAGGCCAGGCGUGGUGGCUUACGCCUGUAAUCCCAGCACUUCAGGAGGCCAAGGCAGGUGUAUCAUGAGGUCAAGAGUUUGAGACUAGCCUGACCAACAUGAUGAAACCCCGUCUCUGCUAAAAAUACAAAAAUUAGCUGGACGUGGAGGCACAUGCUUGUAAUCCCAGCUACUCAGGAGGCUGAGGCAGGAGAAUCAUUUGAACCUGGGAGGCGGAGGUUGCAGUGGGCCGAGAUCGCACCAUUGCACUCCAGCCUGGGCGACAGAGUGAGACUUUGUCUGAAAAAAAUAAAAUAAAAAAAUAAAGAAUUCUUGCAACCACACCUCACAGAUCACAGUUCCAGAACUGCUGCAGAAGAAGGUCUUUCUGAAGAAGGUACAAAGGGGAAAGAUAAAGGUGCUGGGUUUUAUCUCUGGUCCUGGUCAGAAUCAACUCAGUCUUUACCAACAGGGAUUGUCCCAUCUGUCAUCCUUGGUUACACAAGCCCCAUCAGGCAGAAUGGGGGAAGGACUGAGCUCUGGGCCUGGUGAGCACCACUGAGCGCCCCACUGCUACUUCAGGAAUCGCCUAUCAGGCUGGUGGGUGGGGUAGGAGUGAAAAUAAUCAGCACCAGUUUUGGAGUCCAGUCUAGAAGUGGCAUUUGACCAGACCCCCCCAUAGCUCUUGAGGGUCUUUUCUGAGGACCUUUACUGCAGUCUAUGCAAAAAACCCACUCAUAGUCCUCAGUAACUUCCAGUCCUCCAAAGCCAUACAGUGUGGUCAUUUUACUCAUCCUCUAGGCUUUCUUUAGUUAUUCAUGCAAAGAUAGGCCUGGCCUUGGGUGUCUGUAGCGAGGCCACAAGGCCUUGGAUCAGAACAGCAACGUCAGGGAAAACAAAAUCCAAGGGGCUGCCCAGUCCAAGGGCAAACUGGGAGUCUAGUCCCCAUCUUGUAACCACGAUCUCUACCUUGCGAUGCUGCAGGGGCACCUCUUCUGCCUUUCACCUAGGCUCCUGGCAAAGGCCUUGCAAAGCAUUAUUCAGGGCACUGUGUGAGGCCAGAGAAGGAACUGAGGAAGACCACACCCAUACACAGAGAUGAAGAGUGUGGAGUGACAGGAAGGCGGGGCUUGAGCUGGUGGCAAAACGGGAAAAGUUCCCUUAUCCCCGUGGCAGGGCUUGCGAUGGAGGUGUGGCUGGCUUCUUCUGUGCCCCGCUGCUCAAACCUGUAGGGGGAGCAUGCAGAUGGGCAGGUGGUGGGGCUCCAACCCCACAGCAAUGUCUAAGGGUGAAUGUUUACAGCUCCUGAGGUCCCAAUGGGCCUGUGUUACAGGAUGCUGUUUCAGUUGAGCCAUCCCUAGUCAGCUGUUAGACCUCCUGCCUUAUUCCAAGGACAGAGGCUUUCUGUAUCCUGAGGUUUCUUGCCUCCGUGCACCAAAAGAAUCAGAUCACACAUGGGCUUGGAGAAUGAGUGCAAGGUUUUAUUGAGUGGAAGUAGCUCUCAGAUGGGGGAGCCAGAAGGGAGACGGAGUGGGGAGGUGGUUUUCCCCUCUGAAGUCGGACCGCUCCGUGGCCAGGCUGUCCUCCAGCUGCACUGAGUGGUUCUGCCUGUCGAUGGCCUGCCAGCCUGCCGUGGGCCACUAUCAGUCUGCUCUUACACCGGUGUGUUCCUCUUGACGUCCAGAGGCUUGUGUGCGUGCCUGCUAAGCUCUCAGGUUUUUUUACAGGCACAGAAUGAGGGUGUGGUAGGCCAGGGUAGUCUUGGGAAAUCCAACAUUUAAGCACGAAAACAGAAAUGCCUGUCCUCA
rnacentral:lncRNA from 1 species